rnacentral:rRNA from 1 species
UGGGGAAUAUUGCACAAUGGGCGCAAGCCUGAUGCAGCCAUGCCGCGUGUAUGAAGAAGGCCUUCGGGUUGUAAAGUACUUUCAGUCGGGAGGAAGGUGGUAAGGUUAAUAACCUUAUCAAUUGACGUUACCGACAGAAGAAGCACCGGCUAACUCCGUGCCAGCAGCCGCGGUAAUACGGAGGGUGCAAGCGUUAAUCGGAAUUACUGGGCGUAAAGCGCACGCAGGCGGUUGAUUGAGUCAGAUGUGAAAUCCCCGGGCUUAACCCGGGAAUUGCAUCUGAUACUGGUCAGCUAGGGUCUUGUAGAGGGGGGUAGAAUUCCAUGUGUAGCGGUGAAAAGCGUAGAGAUGUGGAGGAAUACCGGUGGCGAAGGCGGCCCCCUGGACAAAGACUGACGCUCAGGUGCGAAAGCGUGGGGAGCAAACAGG